rnacentral:rRNA from 1 species
UACGUAGGUGGCGAGCGUUAUCCGGAAUUAUUGGGCGUAAAGGGUGCGUAGGCGGCUGAUUAAGUCUGGAUUAAAAGCGUGGAGCUCAACUCCAUCAAGGUCCGGAAACUGGUCAGCUGGAGUACAGGAGAGGUUAGCGGAAUUCCAUGUGUAGCGGUAAAAUGCGUAGAUAUAUGGAGGAACACCAGUGGCGAAGGCGGCUAACUGGCCUGCAACUGACGCUGAGGCACGAAAGCGUGGGGAGC